rnacentral:lncRNA from 1 species
CUAUGCGGUAUGGGCUUUGCUCAUUGUUGAAAGCCGUACGGUGACCUAUAGUUGUUAAUGUCUGUGUCAUUUUGGUCUUUGGGGAUAGUUUUCUCAUUGGCAAUCAUACCACAUCUUCUUUUUUUUUUAUUGUCCUUAAUUUGUUGCUAUGAAUUUUUCACCAGCUUUAAAAACAGGGGUUACUCUUGCAAUCUUUAGAACAC